rnacentral:rRNA from 1 species
CGUAUGCAACCUACCUUAAUCUGGGGGAUAGCCCGAAGAAAUUCGGAUUAACACCGCAUAAAAUCACAGCACGGCAUCGUGUAAUGAUCAAAUAUUUAUAGGAUUAAGAUGGGCAUGCGUGACAUUAGUUAGUUGGCGAGGUAACGGCUCACCAAGACUACGAUGUCUAGGGGAUCUGAGAGGAUGACCCCCCACACUGGUACUGAGACACGGACCAG